rnacentral:rRNA from 1 species
AAUGAACGCUGGCGGCAUGCUUUACACAUGCAAGUCGAACGGUAACAGGCCUUCGGGUGCUGACGAGUGGCGAACGGGUGAGUAAUGCAUCGGAACGUGCCCAAUCGUGGGGGAUAACGUAGCGAAAGUUACGCUAAUACCGCAUAAGCCCUGAGGGGGAAAGUGGGGGACCGCAAGGCCUCACGCGAAUGGAGCGGCCGAUGUCAGAUUAGCUAGUUGGUGGGGUAAAGGCCCACCAAGGCGACGAUCUGUAGCGGGUCUGAGAGGAUGAUCCGCCACACUGGGACUGAGACACGGCCCAGACUCCUACGGGAGGCAGCAGUGGGGAAUUUUGGACAAUGGGCGCAAGCCUGAUCCAGCCAUGCCGCGUGCGGGAAGAAGGCCUCGGUUGUAACC